UACGUAGGGGGCAAGCGUUGUCCGGAAUCAUUGGGCGUAAAGCGCGUGUAGGCGGCCCGGUAAGUCCGCUGUGAAAGUCGGGGGCUCAACCCUCGGAUGCCGGUGGAUACUGUCGGGCUAGAGUGCGGGAGAGGCGAGUGGACUUCCUGGUGUAGCGGUGAAAUGCGCAGAUAUCAGGAGGAACACCAAUUGCGAAGGCAGCUCGCUGGAACGUUACUGACGCUGAGGCGCGAAAGCGUGGGGAGCAAACAGG
rnacentral:rRNA from 1 species